AUUUUGUAUCAUGGGGUAAACCCUGAUCCAGCCAUCCCGCGUGUAUGAUGAAAGCCUUCGGGUAGUACCAUACUCUUGGCAGACAAGCAAAGGUAUCUUCUAAUACGAGAUACUGCUGACGGUAUCUGCAGCAUAAGCACCGGCUAACUACGUGCCAGCAGCCGCGGUAAUACGAAGGGUGCAAGCGUUAAUCGGAAUUACUGGGCGUAAAGCGUGUGUAGGCGGUUCGGAAAGAAAGAUGUGAAAUCCCAGGGCUCAACCUUGGAACUGCAUUUUUAACUGCCGAGCUAGAGUAUGUCAGAGGGGGGUAGAAUUCCACGUGUAGCAGUGAAAUGCGUAGAUAUGUGGAGGAAUACCGAUGGCGAAGGCAGCCCCCUGGGAUAAUACUGACGCUCAGACACGAAAGCGUGGGGAGCAAACA
rnacentral:rRNA from 1 species